rnacentral:lncRNA from 1 species
GAGGUGCUUUAUGCCUACAGUGAGCAGGCCACCCAGCUAGAGGUUUGGCUGGAGAGAGCCCAGCACACCCUUGGAGUGCUGGAGCGGGCCGCCACUGCCAGCAUGCAGGACAGUGUGGAGCAGCAGCUCCUCACGUGCCAGGAGAUGUUCCUGGAGAUAGAGCAAAAGGUAGCCAGUCUGUCUGUACUGGAGCAGCAGGAGGGCUCAGCAGGGUCCCACCAGGAGGCUGAGGCACUCUCCUCCAAACUGGAGCUGCUCAAGACCAGCCUGGUCACCUUCCAGCUGUUGUUGCAGGAGAGACAGAGCCAUGAGCAGAUGCACACCAGCACACAUACAGAGGAGAAGGUGCCAUCACCGUCACCGUCAUCACCCAGAAAUCUUCCUCUAGAGGGCAGACUGCAGCGUAGCGGCAGUGUCCAGGAGAUUCUCUCUUCUUCCAAGAGCAAACUCUUUAGACAGACCAGCUUUCAACAGCAGAAGGUAAACUGUCCAAAACAUGUCUGA